CAUUGAAGAGUGUACAGAAAGUUUACGCAGAAGGUGGCUGAGUGCCACGACCUGAGUCACAGAGCCCAACAAAAUCCAUGAGACAACGAUGGAUCCUGCAGCAUCUCUGCCAUAGGAAGCCGGAGGUACAGGAAAACAUUAGGGUCUUCCCAGGCAAAUGUGACUGCGAUCUUCCUGGUAACAGACUGUUUCGGGGAUAGCAGCACCUGUGUUCUUGUGAAGACGUGCAAAAGUUUCUCAAGUUGUCUUGGGCACAGAUCUGCCAUCUUCAGGAAUCGUCAACCUAGCCUGAGGGCUUCCCAUCCUGGCAGAGAUGAUACACACACCAGAGUACUUGGGCUGCCUUGGAAUUUGAGCAGACUAGC